UACAGAGGGUGCGAGCGUUGUUCGGAAUUAUUGGGCGUAAAGGGCGCGUAGGCGGUGCGGCAAGUCACCUGUGAAACCUCUGGGCUUAACCCAGAGCCUGCAGGCGAAACUGCCGUGCUGGAGUGUGGGAGAGGUGCGUGGAAUUCCCGGUGUAGCGGUGAAAUGCGUAGAGAUCCGGAGGAACCCCAGAGGCGAAGGCGGCGCUCUGGCUCGCAACUGACGCUCAGACACGACAGCAUGGGGAGCGAACGGG
rnacentral:rRNA from 1 species